CCUACGGGGGGCAGCAGUAGGGAAUCUUCCACAAUGGGCGAAAGCCUGAUGGAGCAACGCCGCGUGGGUGAAGAAGGUCUUCGGAUCGUAAAACCCUGUUGUUAGAGAAGAAAGUGCGUGAGAGUAACUGUUCACGUUUCGACGGUAUCUAACCAGAAAGCCACGGCUAACUACGUGCCAGCAGCCGCGGUAAUACGUAGGUGGCAAGCGUUAUCCGGAUUUAUUGGGUUUAAAGGGUGCGCAGGCGGUCUGUUAAGUCAGCGGUCAAAGCCCGGGGCUCAACCCCGGCCCGCCGUUGAAACUGG
rnacentral:rRNA from 1 species